GAUGAAGAACGUAGCGAAAUGCGAUACUUGGUGUGAAUUGCAGAAUCCCGUGAACCAUCGAGUCUUUGAACGCAAGUUGCGCCUCAAGCCAUUAGGUUGAGGGCACGUCUGCCUGGGCGUCACAUAUCGUUGCCUGAUGCCAGUUUCCUCGUGAUGGGUGACUGUGCAGGGCGAAUGAUGGCUUCCCGUGAGCAUUGUUGCCUCAUGGUUGGUUGAAAAUUGAGUCCUUGGUAGGGAGCGCCGUGAUAGAUGGUGGUUGAGUGAUGAACGAGACCCAAUCAUGUGAGACCCCUACCGAAUUUGGCCUUCAUGACCCACAUGCGUCUUUGGAACGCUCAUGACGAGACCUCAGGUCAGGCGGGGCUACCCGCUGAGUUUAAGCAUAUCAAUAAGCGGAGGA
rnacentral:misc_RNA from 1 species